rnacentral:lncRNA from 1 species
AUGUCGUCUCUCAUCUACCCUUGCAUCAUCUCUGUUGGGAGAGGUGAUCGAGAGAAUGUGAUCACAGUUCCCCCAAGAGCUGGACUCAGGCAAUCAGAGACUCCUCCCACCUCCCCUGGAAUGAAUAUUCUCCCGACCACUCCUGUGGUGGGAGCCAUUUUCAGGGACACAGAGAGUAAUGUAUUGUUGACACCCUCUGGGGAGUAUACGGGACUCAACCCACUUAUGGCUUCUUUACAAACUUUUAGGAUUUGGCAGCCGGGUGUGGAGAUCUGCUCAUCUUGCUGCCACCCAAGACAAGCCUCAGCUUGUAGCCAGCCGACCACAGUGCCUUCCACUUGGAGGGAGACUUGUAGAGAAGAAAGCUGACGUGGAGGAAAGCAGAGCUGGGUCACGGACGAGAAAGACUGAGUCCUCAUGAUAUUGUUUGAACCCUUUGAUCCACCCACAUCUGAGGUCAGACUACUUCUGACUUUCUAAAUUAUGGGAACCAAUAAAUCUCUUUUCUUUUUUUAAAGCCACUUUGAAUUGACUUUCUGUUACAUGUGAACAAAGAAUCCUGAAUAAUGCAAGGGGUAAGGCAGGGGCACAGUUUCUGCACAGGGGUCCUGGGUCCGAGAAAUCGGACUUAAAACCGUGGGCCAGCCUUUGAGCAGCACUCUCCCCAGACGGCCUGGGGGCCUAUGUGAGUUUGGACGUGAAGUGAACUUCUUGCUCUCUUCCUGCCGUCCUUUUCCUGAUGGUUCUCUUCUCUUAGUUGCUUGGGAACUUCUCUCAGGGGCAGGAAUUUGGCAUCUGCUGGCUUUUUUUAUGUUUCUAGAACCUCUCUGGAUGAGGUGGAGCAUUUAAAAGACAGUGCAUUUGGGUUUGAGAAAACUGUUUACCCAGUGAUUGACCUUAAAUUUUCACUUUUUUCCCUUAUGUAUUCAGAAGGAGAAAUCCUGUGUUGUUGUUUUUUUCCCCCCUGAAGAAUUGUUUUUUGGGGGGUCAAGUUCUGUCCUGCUGCCUGCCCCCCCCCAAGCUUGGGAAGGGUGUCCAUCUGCUCUCCUAGAGGAGGUCAUUUAAAGUAGAUCACCUUGGGGCGCCUCGGUGGCUCAGAUGGUUAAGUGUCUGCCUUUGGCCCGGGUUGUGAUCUCGAGGUCCUGGGAUCGAGCCCCACAUCGGGCUCUCUGCUCAGUGGGGAGCCUGCUUCCUCCUCUCUCUCUGCCUGCUUCUCUGUCUACUUGUGAUGUCUGUCUGUCAAAUAAAUAAAUAAAAUCUUAAAAAAAAAAAAGUAGUCACCUUGGUCUGGCUUCUCCCAUUCGGUUUGUAUUUGUGCACAGAUAAAGACAUCUCUAGGAAGAGAGCACCUGUCCACUGGCCAACUCCUUUAUGUUAAUUCUGUAGUAACACUUGUUGCCUUUUCCAUUGUUCCUGGCAUCUGGAGGUGUUUUUGUGAGCAGUGGCAGUUGCUAACCAGUAUGUUUUUUUGGGGGGGGUGUGUAUUUUGGGUACAGUUUUCCAAAUCUCCCUCCCACAAAUCCACUUGAAAGCGUCCAUCCGUGAGUAGUUGUGGUUUCCACCUAGCAUCGAAAAGUGGCAUGUGAAGUCAGUGACAUUAUUAAGGUUCCACUGAUGUGUGUUCCAGAAAUGUCAUAACUCCUGCUCAGGCCACAGUGUCACCAACUAAAAAAAAACAAACAAUGAAAAGACAACUCAGCGGUUUAUUUUACAAAGGAAUCAUUUCUUGGGGUGCCUGGGUGGCACAUUCAGUUAAGCACCUGACUUGGUUUCAGCUCAGGUCAGGGAGCUGGUCAGGUCAGGUCAGGGAUGUGGGACCCAGCCCCACAUCGGGCUCUGCUCAGUGCACAGUCUGCCUGAGACCCUCUCCCUCUGCCUCUCUCCAACUCUCUCUCUAAAAUAAAUAAAAUCUUUUAAAAAAAAC